rnacentral:rRNA from 1 species
AUUGAACGCUGGCGGCAUGCCUUACACAUGCAAGUCGAACGGCAGCGGACCUUCGGGUGCCGGCGAGUGGCGAACGGGUGAGUAAUAUAUCGGAACGUACCUUUCAGUGGGGGAUAACGUAGCGAAAGUUACGCUAAUACCGCAUAUUCUGUGAGCAGGAAAGCAGGGGAUCGCAAGACCUUGCGCUGAUUGAGCGGCCGAUAUCAGAUUAGCUAGUUGGUGAGGUAAAGGCUCACCAAGGCGACGAUCUGUAGCGGGUCUGAGAGGAUGAUCCGCCACACUGGAACUGAGACACGGUCCAGACUCCUACGGGAGGCAGCAGUGGGGAAUUUUGGACAAUGGGCGCAAGCCCGAUCCAGCCAUGCCGCGUGAGUGAAGAAGGCCU